UACGUAGGCAGCAAGCGUUGUUCGGAGUUACUGGGCGUAAAGGGUGUGUAGGCGGUUGUUUAAGUUUGGUGUGAAAUCUCCCGGCUUAACUGGGAGGGUGCGCCGAAUACUGAAUGACUAGAGUGCGGGAGAGGUGAGUGGAAUUCCUGGUGUAGCGGUGAAAUGCGUAGAUAUCAGGAGGAACACCGGUGGUGUAGACGGCUCACUGGACCGUAACUGACGCUGAAACACGAAAGCGUGGGUAGCAAACAGG
rnacentral:rRNA from 1 species